GAUGAACGCUGGCGGCGUGCCUAAUACAUGCAAGUCGAGCGAACAGAUGAGGAGCUUGCUCCUCUGACGUUAGCGGCGGACGGGUGAGUAACACGUGGAUAACCUACCUAUAAGACUGGGAUAACUUCGGGAAACCGGAGCUAAUACCGGAUAAUAUAUUGAACCGCAUGGUUCAAUAGUGAAAGACGGUUUUGCUGUCACUUAUAGAUGGAUCCGCGCCGCAUUAGCUAGUUGGUAAGGUAACGGCUUACCAAGGCAACGAUGCGUAGCCGACCUGAGAGGGUGAUCGGCCACCCUGGAACUGAGACACGGUCCAGACUCCUACGGGAGGCAGCAGUAGGGAAUCUUCCGCAAUGGGCGAAGGCCUGACGGAGCAACGCCGCGUGAGUGAUGAAGGUCUUCGGAUCGUAAAACUCUGUUAUUAGGGAAGAACAAAUGUGUAAGUAACUAUGCACGUCUUGACGGUACCUAAUCAGAAAGCCACGGCUAACUACGU
rnacentral:rRNA from 1 species